rnacentral:rRNA from 1 species
UACGGGGGGGGCAAGCGUUGUUCGGAAUUACUGGGCGUAAAGGGCUCGUAGGCGGCCAACUAAGUCCGACGUGAAAUCCCCAGGCUUAACCUGGGAACUGCGUCGGAUACUGGUUGGCUUGAAUCCGGGAGAGGGAUGCGGAAUUCCAGGUGUAGCGGUGAAAUGCGUAGAUAUCUGGAGGAACACCAAUAGCGAAGGCAGCUCGCUGGGACGGUACUGACGCUAAGGCGCGAAAGCGUGGGGAGCGAACAGG